UUGGAGGGCAAGUCUGGUGCCAGCAGCCGCGGUAAUUCCAGCUCAAUAGCGUAUAUUAAAGUUGUUGCAGUUAAAAAGCUCGUAGUUGAUUCGGGGUUCUACCGUCGGUCGGGCUAACAAGUCUGUACUGGUGUGUACACUCCUACCUUCUGGGAACCAUCAUGUUAUAAUUUAGCGUGGUAGGAAACCAGGACCUUUACCUUGAAAAAAUUAGAGUGUUCAAAGCAGGCUUAAGUCUGAAUACAUUAGCAUGGAAUAAUAGAAUAGGACGGUGGUCCUGUUUUGUUGGUUUCUGAAUCACCGUAAUGAUUAAUAGGGAUAGUUGGGGGCAUUAGUAUUCAAUUGUCAGAGGUGAAAUUCUUGGAUUUAUUGAAGACUAACUUCUGCGAAAGCAUUUGCCAAGGAUGUUUUCAUUAAUCAAGAACGAAAGUUAGGGGAUCGAAGACGAUCAGAUACCGUCGUAGUCUUAACCAUAAACUAUGCCGACUAGGGAUCGGACGAUGUUAAAUUUUAUUGACUCGUUCGGCGCCUUACGGGAAAC
rnacentral:rRNA from 2 species